rnacentral:tRNA from 1 species
UCCCUAGAGGACCAGUGGUUAGGCCACAACGUUCCUACUGCUGCAGCCCGGGUUCGAUUCCCGGCCAGAGAA